rnacentral:misc_RNA from 1 species
GAUUCCUUAUUUUUAGGCUCUUCAUCUAAAGAGCUGUCAUCCUCAUCUGAAGUAUCUGAAUCAGAACUAUCACUUGAUUCAUCUUUCUUCUUAGGAACAGCAGCAGUACCUUUCUUAACUGAAGAAUUCUUCCCAGCGUCAUCUUCCUCCUCUGAACUGUCAUCUGAGUCUGAGCUACUAGACUCCACUUUCCCUUUGGGGGUGGUAGCGGGCACACUCUUUUUUGCUGCUAUAACUUUUCCCUUUGGUUCAUUGUCAGAAUCA